rnacentral:rRNA from 1 species
GACGAGCGCUGGCGGCACGCUUAACACAUGCAAGUCGAACGAGAGAAGAGAAGCUUGCUUUUCUGAUCUAGUGGCGGACGGGUGAGUAACACGUGAGCAAUCUGCCUUUCAGAGGGGGAUACCGAUUGGAAACGAUCGUUAAUACCGCAUAACAUAAUUGAACCGCAUGAUUUGAUUAUCAAAGAUUUAUCGCUGAAAGAUGAGCUCGCGUCUGAUUAGCUAGUUGGUAAGGUAACGGCUUACCAAGGCGACGAUCAGUAGCCGGACUGAGAGGUUGAUCGGCCACAUUGGGACUGAGACACGGCCCAGACUCCUACGGGAGGCAGCAGUGGGGAAUAUUGCACAAUGGAGGAAACUCUGAUGCAGCGAUGCCGCGUGAGGGAAGAAGGUUUUAGGAUUGUAAACCUCUGUCUUCAGGGACGAAAAAAGACGGUACCUGAGGAGGAAGCUCCGGCUAACUACGUGCCAGCAGCCGCGGUAAUACGUAGGGAGCGAGCGUUGUCCGGAAUUACUGGGUGUAAAGGGAGCGUAGGCGGGAUCGCAAGUCAGAUGUGAAAACUAUGGGCUUAACCCAUAAACUGCAUUUGAAACUGUGGUUCUUGAGUGAAGUAGAGGUAAGCGGAAUUCCUAGUGUAGCGGUGAAAUGCGUAGAUAUUAGGAGGAACAUCAGUGGCGAAGGCGGCUUACUGGGCUUUAACUGACGCUGAGGCUCGAAAGCGUGGGGAGCAAACAGAAUUAGAUACCCUGGUAGUCCACGCCGUAAACGAUGAUUACUAGGUGUGGGGGGACUGACCCCUUCCGUGCCGCAGCAAACGCAAUAAGUAAUCCACCUGGGGAGUACGACCGCAAGGUUGAAACUCAAAGGAAUUGACGGGGGCCCGCACAAGCAGUGGAGUAUGUGGAUUAAUUCGAAGCAACGCGAAGAACCUUACCAGGUCUUGACAUCGUAUGCAUAGCUCAGAGAUGAGUGAAAUCUCUUCGGAGACAUAUAGACAGGUGGUGCAUGGUUGUCGUCAGCUCGUGUCGUGAGAUGUUGGGUUAAGUCCCGCAACGAGCGCAACCCUUACUGUUAGUUGCUACGCAAGAGCACUCUAGCAGGACUGCCGUUGACAAAACGGAGGAAGGUGGGGAUGACGUCAAAUCAUCAUGCCCCUUAUGACCUGGGCCUCACACGUACUACAAUGGCUGUCAACAGAGGGAAGCAAAGCCGCGAGGUGGAGCAAACCCCUAAAAGCAGUCUUAGUUCGGAUUGUAGGCUGCAACCCGCCUACAUGAAGUCGGAAUUGCUAGUAAUCGCAGAUCAGCAUGCUGCGGUGAAUACGUUCCCGGGCCUUGCACA